rnacentral:rRNA from 1 species
GAUGAACGCUGGCGGCGUGCCUAAUACAUGCAAGUCGAGCGAACGGACGAGAAGCUUGCUUUUCUGAUGUUAGCGGCGGACGGGUGAGUAACACGUGGAUAACCUACCUAUAAGACUGGGAUAACUUCGGGAAACCGGAGCUAAUACCGGAUAAUAUUUUGAAACGCAUGGUUCAAAAGGGAAAGACGGUCUUGCUGUCACUUAUAGAUGUAUCCGCGCUGCAUUAGAUAGUUUGUAAGGUAACGGCUUACCAAGGCAACGAUGCAUAGCCUACCUGAGAGGGUGAUCGGCCAGCCUGGAACUGAGACACGGUCCAGACUCCUACGGGAGGCAGCAGUAGGGAAUCUUACGCGAUGGGCGAAAGCCUGGCGGAGCACAGCCGAGUGAGUGAUGAAGGUCUUCGGAUCGUAAAACUCUGUUAUUAGGGAAGAACAUAUGUGUAAGUAACUGUGCACAUCUUGACGGUACCUAAUCAGAAAGCCACGGCUAACUACGUG